UGGGUUAUUAUUGCCGAGACAAACGAGCUUUGUUAGUCGUAUGUAUUUCUUGUAGUGUCUGAACGUUGUAAGUGUAGUUGAGUAGUUAUUUCCUCCCCCCAUUUUGGUGAGAAAAAACACGUCGUUUUUCUUUAAGUGGGAUGCUGUGUCGUUAGCCUGUACUUAGCUUGUAGCUGUUUUCACGUCGGGAUCAAAAUCACUCCGACGUAGUGCAUUAUGACAGACAGCAUUAUGAGCAAAGCUGCAACAAUGGAGAUUCCUAUCAACAGUAAUGGUGACACAGGGACUUCACCAGAGGAUGAUGGCCUGGAACAGGCUGCAAAGGUGCAGUGGAGCUUAAAUGAGAAGGUAGG